CGUAGGGGGCAAGCGUUGUCCGGAUUUAUUGGGCGUAAAGCGCGCGUAGGCGGCGCGGUAUGUCGUGCGUGAAAUCUCCCGGCUUAACUGGGAGGGGCCGUGCGAAACUGCCGGGCUUGAGGUCGGAAGGGGAAAGUGGAAUUCCGGGUGUAGUGGUGGAAUACGUAGAUAUCCGGAGGAACACCAGCGGCGAAGGCGGCUUUCUGGUCCGAUACUGACGCUGAGGUGCGAAAGCGUGGGGAGCGAUCCGGAUUAGAUACCCGGGUAGUCCACGCCGUAAACGAUGAGUACUAGGUGUCGGGGGUAUCGACCCCCUCGGUGCCGUCGCUAACGCAUUAAGUACUCCGCCUGGGGACUACGGCCGCAAGGCUA
rnacentral:rRNA from 1 species